AACGAACGCUGGCGGCAUGCCUAACACAUGCAAGUCGAACGAGACCUUCGGGUCUAGUGGCGCACGGGUGCGUAACGCGUGGGAACCUGCCCUUAGGUUCGGAAUAACUCCCCGAAAGGGGUGCUAAUACCGGAUAAUGUCUUCGGACCAAAGAUUUAUCGCCUUUGGAUGGGCCCGCGUUGGAUUAGCUAGUUGGUAGGGUAAAAGCCUACCAAAGCGACGAUCCAUAGCUGGUCUGAGAGGAUGAUCAGCCACACUGGGACUGAGACACGGCCCAGACUCCUACGGGAGGCAGCAGUGGGGAAUAUUGGACAAUGGGCGAAAGCCUGAUCCAGCAAUGCCGCGUGAGUGAUGAAGGCCUUAGGGUUGUAAAGCUCUUUUACCCGGGAUGAUAAUGACAGUACCGGGAGAAUAAGCGCCGGCUAACUCCGUG
rnacentral:rRNA from 1 species